ACUCCUACGGGAGGCAGCAGUAGGAAUUUUGCCGCAAUGGACGAAAGUCAUGACGGAGCAAUGCCGCGUGAGUGAUGAAGGUUUUCGAAAUUCGUAAAGCUCUGAUUGUAAGGGAAGAAUAGCAGUAGUAGGAAAUGACUACUGUGUGACGGUACCUUACCAGAAAGCCACGGCUAACUACGUGCCAGCAGCCGCGGUAAUACGUAGGUGGCAAGCGUUAUCC
rnacentral:rRNA from 1 species